GACGAACGCUGGCGGCGUGCUUAACACAUGCAAGUCGAACGGAAAGGCCCUGCUUUUGUGGGGUGCUCGAGUGGCGAACGGGUGAUUAACACGUGAGUAACCUGCCCUUGACUUUGGGAUAACUUCAGGAAACUGGGGCUAAUACCGGAUAGGAGCUCCUGCUGCAUGGUGGGGGUUGGAAAGUUUCGGCGGUUGGGGAUGGACUCGCGGCUUAUCAGCUUGUUGGUGGGGUAGUGGCUUACCAAGGCUUUGACGGGUAGCCGGCCUGAGAGGGUGACCGGCCACAUUGGGACUGAGAUACGGCGCAGACUCCUACGGGAGGCAGCAGUGGGGAAUAUUGCACAAUGGGCGGAAGCCGGAUGCAGCAACGCCGCGUGCGGGAUGACGACCUUCGGGUUGUAAACCGCUUUCGCCUGUGACGAAGCGUGAGUGACGGUAAUGGGUAAAGAAGCACCGGCUAACUACGCG
rnacentral:rRNA from 1 species